rnacentral:tRNA from 1 species
CAAAAUGCAGUUUAACAAAAACAUUUCGCUUACACCGAAAAAAUAUCUGUACAGCCAGAUUAUUUUGA